CUAACAAACUUUAACUAAUUUGGCAACGGCUACAGGCUAUAAUUCCGUAGGCGUACAAAUAAUCUGCAAACAAACCGACAAGUAUGAGCCAUUUUCGUUAAAAAAAAUAUUCUUAAAAAGGCCUUAAACUUAAUGAAAAAGAUAGAAUUGUAAUGUUUUCAUUAGUUUAAAGCUAUUAUAACUUUUUUCUCUCCCAUCACCUCGCCCCCCGUCCCUUAAAGAAGAAAAGUUGCAGAAUAAAAUUAAGCGGGCAGAAACUGUAGUGAUAAAUUUUUGCCAUAUAAAAAUAUUGGUAAUUUAUUUUACACACUAAUCGAGAUAGACUGCGUAGUCGAGUGGUUAGAGUCGCGGACUGCCAACCCGAUAGUCAGGGGUUCGAUUCUCGCGAUUGUCAUGUUUUUUUUUCCUUACAAUUUUUUUAAAGAUAACUUCUUAUUAAUAUUACUUAAUGAGACUUUAAAUAGCUAUUUCUGCAUCUUUUUACAGGAGCUGGAUGAUCUUCUGUCAUGUUUCGGUUUAUCGCAUCAGGCAGACACGUAGUCUUCAGUAGCCAUUAGAAAUGAAAGUGAAAAUGAAGUUAUAGAGGCACCAGAUAUAUCCAUUGAGUCACGUCUCAACAGAUAUUUUACAGCUAGUCUUGUUUUGGAUCCUGUUAAUGCAGACAAUCAAGGUAAUGCUGACAUUAACCAAAAUAGAGAUGAUCGGAUCCGCAGAGCGACAUUGAUAAUUUGAAACUCAUUUAUGACAGUGGCUGUAAAUGUUCAAAAAACUGCUUCAGUAACUUAUCCUUUCCUCAGAUCGAAGCAAAUAUUCUUAAUCUUAGGGAAAUGACAAAAAAUGAGAAGGAAAUGCUAAUAAUGGGCACUCUUAAAAAGAUAAGCUCUGACAUAAGAUGUAAAGAAGAUCGCAAACGCUCCCGUUAUGAAUAUUUUUUUGAUGGAGAAAAAGUGUGCCUUGAAACCUUUCUGGUUGUCUUUGAUAUAAAAGACAGGCAACUGAGAAAUAUCAAACACCAUAUGGAAGAACACGGUGCUCAACCACGUGUUCACGGUCAUACAGGAAGACGAGCUCCAAAUGCAUUUCCUCCAGACGUUAUUAAAGAUGCAGUUCAGUAUAUACUGAGUUACGCCAAUGAGGAGGGAUUGCCUCAGCCUGCAGCACUAAGGGGGAGGGAUGAUGAGGCUCCUAUAUAUUUACCGUCGUCUGAUACAAAACAUUCAGUACACAGUGACUACGUUACACGCUGUACGGAAGUUGGGAAGCGGUAUGUUGGUUUAUCAACAUUUAAAGAUAUCUGGAAAAAUUGUGUGCCCCAUAUAAAAAUAGCCUCGCCGAAAGAGGAUGUGUGUAAAGCCUGUGAGGACUGUAAACAGGAUAUUAAGCUUGCCCAGAGUGAAAACGACAAGAUAGAGGCAACCUUGAAAUACCAUCAACAUGUGCUGCAGGCAAGAAAGGAACGUGACCUAUACAUGGAACUUGUAGAAAAAUCAAAAGCAAUGUUUGUAAACCGGGAACAACACAACCAGGCUGCUGGGGAUAACUUUUCUACAAAUGACGUACAUUAUACAUUUGACUUCAGUCAGUAUGUUAAGUUGCCACACCAUGCGCAAGAAAAGGGACCCACAUUUUUCAUUCAGCCGAGAAAAGUGCAGGUAGGACUUUCAAUCUACUUAUGCUAAUUAUUUAUUUUUCAUGUAUAUAUACUUUUUCGUUUAUUUUACAAUUACUAUAAACGAGAAAAUUACGUGUUAAUACCAUAGUUUUUAGAAAAUAAAUUUUCUUUCCCUUUUCAAAAUAAAUACUUUAAAUAUUUUUUCUAUGCAGUAAAUGUUUCUUUCUGUAUCUUCUGAUAUUUGGUUUCCGAGCCGAUGGCUACAAACAAUACAAUUAUCUCAUAGACGAGGACCAAACCAUUGGUCCAGAUGGCACACUUGUACAUGGACCAGACUCGGUCAUCUCAAUGAUAGACCAUGCCUUCAACACGUUUGGUACCGGAGAGAGUGAUUGUGGGAUUCACGCAGAUAAUUGUUUUGGUCAGAAUAAGAAUAGAUUCGUACUAGCCUACCUGUCAUGGCGUACGAUGAUUGGAUCGCAUAGAAAUAUUAAAUACAUGAUGCAGUUACCAGGACACACAAGGUGCUUGAUCGACGCCGGAUUUGGAACGAUAAAUUAAAGAAGUUGUAUCGGCGUUCAAAUUGUGAUACUCUCCAACACGUGACGGAAGUAGUACAAAAGUCAGCACACAGUAACGUUCCCGUUACUUAUGGUGAAUGGAUGUGGAAAGGCUGGAAGAUGUUCCUCGGGGACAGAUUCAAAAAAGUACCGAAUGCAAUUCAAAGAGCCAUAACUAACUCUGCCUUGCCUAAUUUUGGAGUUAUUGCCCUUUGGUGAAUUCUUUUUACUUUGAACUUUGUGACAUAGCUCUGAAACCAUAAGAGGUUUGUAGGUAGAUUGAUCUCAUUAAAAAGAAGUGCAGCACAAAGGAACCUUAACUCUGUCUUGCUUAAUUUUGGAGUUAUUGUCCUUUGUUCAUUUUUACACUUUGAACUUUAUCAGGAACAUUACUCUGACACUUUAAGAGGUAUAUUUUUCUGUGUUUAAAACCUACUCGGGGAGCAUCAAUCGGUUCUUGUCAAGAGUCUUGGGGCAUUACUUUCAUAUUGUAUAUAGAAAAAUGGGACUUAUUCUGCGUUGAAUGGAGUAAUGACAUCAGCUUGGAACACCUUUACUAUUCUCGAUCUUGCAACAACUUGCACCCAAUCAGUGCUUUCGGCAUACGUUAUUUUUUAUUACCUAAGUUAUAUGUAUAUGUAUUUCAGAUAUGGUUAUGCCUGAUACGUCUUCCAAUCGAAUGGGCUUUCAAACGAUGAAAGUGAUGUUGCGAUUAACUACGGAAAAGGUUAUACAAUUAAAGAAAUAUGUGGCUUUCUGCUAUUUUCACAUAAUACCAUAGUGAGUCUUCGUCAGUUGUAACAAAUCCUAAAACGUUUACGACUCCAAAGGCGGAAUAUGCAGAUUUUGUUACCAGAUGUAAUAAGUGCUUUGAUCAUGAAAGGGUUUCGGUGAAUGUGUAUACAGGACAGUCUGGAAACUGAUCAAAUCUUCAACAACUGUACAUGUGACACAAGAUGAGAAUUAGUGACCCCGAAGAUGUGAAUUUGAGAGCUCGUCACUGUCACGGCGCAGAACGUACACCAAUAGAGGACCAAAUUAUGCUAUACAUCUAAAUGGAAAUGACAAACUUAAACCCUUUGGAAAUGGCAUACCUACAUGGAAUUAGACGUCAAAGAAUUCUGAGGCCCAAAGUGGUAUUCCUGAUGUUUUGUAUCACCAGCCAGAAGUGUUUCAUUCGUUCGAUCAUUCGCUUCCGGUAACCAUGCAAUGUUGAAGUGAUAACUCGUAUACAAAAUGACUAUGCAAAAGCCAAGCCCAAAUUUGGAUGCAAAGACGAAUUCUUGCCAAUUCUAGAAGAGGUGUGUGGUUUACCAAUUGACCAAUUACAAAGGCCGAAAACGGUCGACUUUGCGACUGAUUUAUUUUGUGCUCUUACAGAAAUAACAAGAUAUGUUUGUAAAACAUGUAUGCCCCCUAUCAGCAGCCAAAUAGUCAUGUGAUAAGGUUAUUAUGCAUGACUUCUGACCCAGUGAUCAAACAAUUAAUAAGGGUUAUAAAGUAUCUACUGGUCAUGACCUUGACCUUUGACCCCUUGACCCAAAACUCAAUAGGGGUCAUCUGCUGGUCACGACCAAUCAUCAUACAAAGUUUGAAGUUCCUAGGCCUAGGUGUUUUUAGUAAAUUGAUCAGAAACCGUUUUUACCUACAAGGUCAAUGUGACCUUGACCUUUGACCCCUUGACCCCAAAAUCAAUAGGGGUCAUCUACUGAUCAUGACCAAUCACCAUACCAAGUUUGAAGUUCCUAGGCCUUAAGGUUCUUUAGUUAUUGAUCAGAAACCGUUUUUGCUUUUAAGGUCAAUGUGACCUUGACCUUUGACCCCUUGACCCCAAAAUCAAUAGGGGUCAUCUACUUAUCAUGACCAAUCACCAUACCAAGUUUGAAGUUCAUAGGCCUUAAGGUUCUUUAGUUAUUGAUCGGAAACCGUUUUUGCUUUUAAGGUCAAUGUGACCUUGACCUUUGACCCCUUGACCCCAAAAUCAAUAGGGGUCAUCUACUGGUCAUGACUAAUCACCAUA